rnacentral:rRNA from 1 species
UACGUAGGGUGCAAGCGUUGUCCGGAAUUAUUGGGCGUAAAGAGCUCGUGGGCGGUUUGUUGCGUCGGCUGUGAAAUCCCGAGGCUCAACCAUGUGGUCUGCAGUCGAUACGGGCAGGCUAGAAUUCGGUAGGGGAGACUGGAAUUCCUGGUGUAGCGGUGAAAUGCGCAGAUAUCAGGAGGAACACCGGUGGCGAAGGCGGGUCUCUGGGCCGAUAUUGACGCUGAGGAGCGAAAGCGUGGGGAGCGAACAGG